AGUCUCUCAUAGAAACUUCUGGCCUCUGGACACUGUGGGAGCAACUUUUCCUUUAUUAGACUGUCUCCUCUUUAACUGUACCUAGAAGAUACUUUAGCACAGCAAGCAUCUCUUUUAUGCUUACAUUAUGCAGUUAUGCAGACUUGGUGUACGUCCUUCAAGGACAGUCUAAGAAUCUUUGAUUCUAUUUCUGCUGGAUACAUUGUUGCAGAGAUGUAAGAAGGAAGGACUUAGAAAAGUAUGCUAUAAGAAUUGAAUGCUCAGAGGCAAGCUAACUUCACAAGGAGAAAAGAAAGAUGGAAACAGCCUAGACAAACUCAAAUCAAGUCCAGGAGACUUACGCUAGAGUUGCUUUUUCUAAUAGAAGAGACCAGUGUGCAAUUGUGAAUUGUGAUGCUGAGGCAAGCCCCAAGGAUGAAGAGAAUUAAAUAGAGGAGGAAGAGAAGAGGAAUAUUGCAGCAUGACUGGGAAGCCUGUCCUUCAUUACUUCAAUUGAAGAAGAAGAAUGGAGUCCAUCCGGUGGCUCCUGGCAGCAGCUGGAGUAGAGUUUGAGGAAGAACUUUUUGAAACCCAUGAAGAGUUUGAGAAGUUAAUCCAAGGUGGAACCCUGAUGUACGAGCAAGUGCCCAUGGUGGAAAUCGAUGGAAUGACUUUGGUGCAGACCAGUGCCAUCUUAAGAUAUGUAGCUGCAAAAUAUGACUUGUAUGGAAGGAACCUGGAGGAACAAGCCUGAGAAGGAGAUGAACCUUGAAUACAUCCUCCACCGAGCUACAACAAGAUUCUUCCCCGUUUAUGAGAAGGCCCUGAGAGACCACGGGCAAGACUUUCUUGUGGGCAAUCGGCUGAGCUUGGCUGAUGUCCAGCUCCUUGAAGUCAUCUUAAUGGCUGAAGAAUGCAAAGCCAGUGUUCUCUCGGGUUUCCCUCUGCUACAGGACUUCAAGGUGAGAACCAGCCAAAUUCCUACAAUUAACAGCUUCCUCCAACCUGGAAGCCAGAGGAAGCCUCCUUUGGAGGAGCGAUCCAUUGGGACUGCAAAGGACAUAUUCAAAUUUGAAUGAGGACUGUUUCUUAAAAACAUGAGCAAUAUAGUAGCUGAGUAUUAACAGCUACAGAGGCUGGAGUUACUCAGUAAGUAUACUGAGUAACUUGACACUGCAUUCAUAAAAAGACACUCACUAAGUAUAUGGCCAGAGAAAUAUCCUGAAGUUAGUAAUAAAUGUUAGGAAUCUUAGUAUGUUAGCAAUGUUAGAAUGUUAGUAAUGGAAAUAUUAAAUGUGUAAGAGAAAAACUACUAGAAGCUUAUCAAUAAACUACAAGAACCAACUCUUGUUUGAAGUAAGACAGGCUACCAAGACAGAAUUCAGAAAAUCCAAGGAGCCCUCGGCCUUCUGUAUGAUCCUAGAAUAAACUUGUAUGUAGCAAGUGAAA
rnacentral:lncRNA from 1 species